rnacentral:lncRNA from 1 species
AUGGAACCUGCAACCUCAUGGCUCCUAGUUGGAUUCAUUAACCACUGAGCCACUACGGGAACUCCGAAGAUGGGCUCUCUUUUAUCUUGUUUAAAGUCAGGCAGGUUGAACUGGGUUCCACAUAAGCUGUUGCCAUUUUAACUAUUUCUUUUUUUUCCCCCUUCAUUUCACUUUCUCCUUCAAAUCACUCCCAGGUUGAAGCAAAGUUGCAAAAACUAUACAAAAACCUUUUUCUUUUUUUCCUGAAUCAUUUGAGAAAUCGCUCCUGACAUGAUAGACCCCAUGACCGCGUACUUGCGUGUGUGUCUUUCCUACAAGCGAGGACAGUCUCCCCCCAAACCCACAGCACAGCUUUCAACAUCAGAACCUGAACUUCGACACGUUCGUCCUCAUCGAAGCCUCAGAGUCCAUUCAGCUUUGUCCAGCUAGCCCCAUUUUGUCAUUUUUAGCCCAGAGACCUUCGCCCCAAAGCCUGGGGUUCUAUUUCCUCUUUUUGUGUGACUCUUUGGUAUGUUGUGGGACACUGACAGGCUCCUCUUGGUGACAGCCGCUCAGGUUAAAAUCGGAAGUUCCUUAAAGUGUGAUUCUGGAUCAGGAUUUUGAAAACGUGUACUUCUGCUAGAACCCCCAUCUGUAAACGUGUGCGCAUGCGUGUGUGUGUGUGUGUGUGUGUGUGUGUGUGUGUGUGUGUGUGUGUCAGGGGUGGGGGAGGCUGAGGGAGAGUAUUCGUGCGUGCGGUCAAAUAGAAGAACUAAAGACAGCAAGACAGGGCUGUUUUCUCUAAUCAAAGGGAUACCUCUGGUUUCUGCAUUCUUAGCGAAACGUUUUUGUCUAUACUUUCUGGAAUCAACGGAUUUUCUUUUACUCUAAGAGAAAAGCGUACCGGGGGAAAAAAAGUUCAGUGUCCAGGUACUUGCUGGCACCAAAGACCAGGGGACAAACUUGCAUAGAAAAAAAAGGAGAGUUCGGAGCUGGAAGAAAGGUUCCAGUUCUGUUUCAUUGUGUGGGCGGUGGUCAAGGGACUGUGGGAUGGAUCCUAGGAGGACAAGAGUCUGGAAGCCACUCACGCCGGUCCCUGCUUUGUCCUCAUAGGUCACAGCUGCCUCAGGCAUGCCCACAGGGCAGGGACGAUUUCACCAGCAAAUGGCUGCCCCAGAGGCAGGGAGUCUUGGCCGCUGGAAGUGUCCACCAGUGUAUUGCUGUUGGCAGUACUGGUCUAAGGUCUGUGGUAGAUGUCAACUCAAUAGAUUGAGGCCAAGUCCGGCGUUGCUUCGUGGAAACGAAUCUGACGAGGACCCAUGAGGAUGCAGGUUGGAACCCUGGCCCUGCUCAGUGGGUUAAGGAUCUGGCGUUGCCGUGAGCUGUGGUGUAGGUUGCAGACGCAGGUCGGAUCCCGCGUUGCUGUGGCUGUGGUGUAGGCCGGUGGCUACAGCUCCAAUUCGACCCCUAGACUGGGAACCUCCAUAUGCCGCGGGAGGGGCCCAAGAAAUAGCGACAACAACAACAACAAAGACAAAAGACAAAAAAAAAAAGAAAAAGAAGGCCCAGCUCCUGAAGAAGGGGCAGCUCUGAACACUCAGCAGGAGCCCUGGGGGCUGAAGUGCCCAAGCUCUGAUCCUUCUUGCAGCCAACAAGGCGGGUGAGGGGACCCGGCCCUGCAGACAGGAGAGCCUGUUCCUCCGCCACUGGCCUGUCAGGGACGCUGGGUGGGAGGUGCUUCCCUCUUUCUCCUCAUCUGGCCAGCUUUCCCUGAUGGA